rnacentral:lncRNA from 1 species
CUCAAGUUCUUUCCUUAAAAGAUGGGAGAAGUGUGUACAUGCCUAAGGUGUGAGAUGUAAUCGGUAGCGGGGGAAAGAGAAGACCGCGUAGGAAGAAGAAAGGAUUAUUGCAAAUAUGAAGCCCUGGAGGAGAUAAGAGAACAUGGUUCCCAAGAGUAGGAAUAAGGGUCUUCAGAGACGUGAAGGCCAGGAGGAAGAUCCUUCUGAGACUAUUAAGUAAGCUGGGUAUUACUGAAAUUUCUGAAGAUGGAAGAACAAACAGGAGUAACACUCACUGUCUCCAGCCCCGUUGAGUGCACAGUCUAAUGAGGAAGACUCUGAUGAUGUAAAAGUUAAUACAGCAAUUAUAGGAAAGGAUAUCCCUGCAGGAAGGAGGAAGUGGGGCCCUGCCCAUGUCCGACCACUGCAUUGUCCUGGCCUUCGUGGGGACUCAGGAAGAGGGUACGGAAGUUUCAACAGGAAAACAGAAAAGUUCAAACGUAAACAGCAUCCAAAAAAAUUUUACCAAUAGCACACUAGAUUUCCUCUCUGGUCCUUCCCGUGCUUCAAUGCAUCUCUGGGCUGGCAGAUUUUAAUCUUGGCUUCUGUUCACCUUGGUAACCUCCAGCAGGGCAGUUGCUCUGUUUCCCUCCUUAGUAAGUCAAGAGGAUAUGUUUUCCAUGGCAAUGGAGACAAAAAACAACUGCUUUCCAGAGACUGUAUCCUGCCUGGCCUGGCUGGAGUCUGUUCUCUUUUCCAUUGGUCAUUUCUGGGGAAGGCAGGAGCUUCCUCCAAUCCCCACAUGGUGUAUGGGAGUUCUCUGUGAGCGGGCUUUCGGGGGUGUUAAGCAAACCCAGCAUCCCAGCUCCCCUUCCUAAGGCAAGAGUUUAUAUAGUCAGGUUGCCAGUUAGGGCCAGAAACAGGUUUUGAGAAUUUCAUUCCUAAAGAACAUUCAGGGAGUUGAACCUAGUCCUCCCCAAAGGGGGUUGGGAUUUCCCUCUUGAUACCCUAUGGUCUGUCCUCUCAAGAGAAGCUGCAUGGUAACUCUAGGUUUAAUGUUAGGAAGACCAAGGUUGUGACAGGAAGAAACAGUCCCGCUGCUAAAUCUGAAAUUCAGCAGCAACAACAAAAAAGUCCAAGAUAGAAGAAUCAGUGGCUUCAGAGACUUCUACACUCAGUACAGUAUACCACAAUGGCUCUCUUAGGGGAGCUGGGAAGGUGGGUGACAGGAAAAAAAGAUAAGAGAAAUGUUAUCAGACUCUGUGCUGAAAGCAGAAGGAGAGAGUCUAUGCAAGUGCAGACCCUAAUCGGAGGGAGUAUCCCUGCUUUCCAGGACACUGAAAGCCUUGCAGCUCCAGCUAAGAACGGCAAAGACACUUCUAAAGUGGUUUUAAUGGGGGCUGCUGGGCACUGAAGAAAGCAUCUGUUACUUCUCAGAUAGACCUGCUCACACAUUUUAGGAGCAAACAGUUCCAGGUAAUAGACAGACUUCUGUGGUGCUGCCAUUAC